rnacentral:rRNA from 1 species
GCGUCCGUAGCAAUACGGAUGGCGCACGGCGCACGGGUGCGUAACACGUGGGCAAUCUGCCCUCGGAUGGGGGAUAACUCGCCGAAAGGCGAGCUAAUACCGCAUGACAUUCCCAGGACUCCGGUCCAGGGACUCAAAGGUCGCAAGACCGUCUGAGGAGGAGCCCGCGCCCGAUUAGCUAGUUGGUGAGGUAACGGCUCACCAAGGCUUUGAUCGGUAGCCGGUCUGAGAGGAUGGCCGGCCACACUGGAACUGAGACACGGUCCAGACUCCUACGGGAGGCAGCAGUGGGGAAUAUUGCGCAAUGGGCGAAAGCCUGACGCAGCGACGCCGCGUGGGGGAUGAGGCUUCUCGGAGUGUAAACCCCUUUCGACCCGGACGAAUGACCCGCAAGGGUUUGACGGUACGGGUAUAAGAAGCCCCGGCUAACUACGUGCCAGCAGCCGCGGUAAUACGUAGGGGGCCAGCGUUGCUCGGAAUUACUGGGCGUAAAGGGUUCGUAGGUGGUGCGGUAAGUUGGAAGUGAAAUCUCUGGGCUUAACCCAGAGGCUGCUUUCCAAAACUGCCGUGCUCGAGUGUGAAAGAGGUCAGUGGAAUUGCAGGUGUAGCGGUUAAAUGCGUAGAUAUCUGCAGGAACACCCGUGGCGAAUGCGGCUGACUGGAUCGCAACUGACACUGAGGAACGAAAACCUAGGGGAGCCAAACACGAUUAGAUACCCUGGUAGUCCUAGCCCUUAACCCAUCAAAAACUUUGGGGGUAGCCCCGCCGUAAGGCGGGGUUGUCCCCUUACUU